rnacentral:rRNA from 1 species
GAUAUACACGGGAGUGAGGGCAUGGGUGCUAAGGUCCAUGUCCGAGAGGGAAACAACCCGGACCAUCAGCUAAGGUCCCUAAAUAUAUGCUAAGUUGUUCUAACGAGGUUUGACUGCUAUAACAGCUAGGAUGUUGGCUUGGAAGCAGCCAUUCAUUUAAAGAGUGCGUAACAGCUCACUAGUCGAGCGGUCGAGCAUGGAUGAUAAUCGGGCAUAAGCAUAUUACCGAAGCUAUGGACUAUACUUGUAUAGUGGUAGGGGAGCAUUCAUGUUGCGUAGAAGCUGUGUGGUAAUGCAUGGUGGAGCGGCAUGAAAAGAAUAAGGUUUCCUGAUCAACGCUAAUCGGAUCGGGGUUAGUCGGGACCUAAGGCGAACCCGAAAGGGGUAGUCGAUGGACAACAGGUUAAUAUUCCUGUACCGGCAUUUACUGCGACGGGGUGACGAAAUUGUGACAGGUCUGCGUACUGACUGAAUAGUACGUUGAAGGGUGUAGAUAUACGAACGGUAGGCAAAUCCGCCGAUUGUGUCGAACCUGAUAGUACCGCGAGUCUUCGGACAAGCGGAUAUGACCGUAACCAUAUUUCCAAGAAAAACCUCUAAGCUUCAGGUAAUUGCCGCCCGUACCGCAAACCGACACAGGUAGUCAAGUAGAGAAUACUGAGGCGCUCGAGUGAUUCAUGGCUAAGGAACUAGGCAAAAUAGCCCUGUAACUUCGGGAGAAAGGGCGCUCACAUUUAGUGAGCCGCAGUGAAAAGAUUCUGGCGACUGUUUAUCAAAAACACAUGGCUUUGCGAAAUUGAAAGAUGAUGUAUAAGGCCUGACACCUGCCCAGUGCCGGAAGACUGAAGCCCCGGUAAACGGCGGCCGUAACUAUAACGGUCCUAAGGUAGCGAAAUUCCUUGUCGGGUAAGUUCCGACCUGCACGAAUGGUGCAACGAUCAGAAUACUGUCUCGGCCAUGAGCUCGGUGAAAUUGUAGUAUCGGUGAAGAUGCCGAUUACCCGCAACGGGACGGAAAGACCCCGUGAACCUUCACUACAACUUAACAUUGAUCUUGGGUAUGUAAUGUGUAGGAUAGGUCGGAGACUUCGAUCCUGCUUCGCCAGGAGUAGGUUAGUCACCCUUGAAAUACGACCCUUUACAUAUCCGUGGUCUAAUCUGCAUUUGCGGAGACAUUGUUUGGUGGGUAGUUUGACUGGGGUGGUCUCCUCCGAAAAAGUAACGGAGGAUUCUAAAGGUACCCUCAUGACGAUUGGUAACCGUCAGCAGAGUGCAAUGGCACAAGGGUGCUUGACUGUGAGACAGACACGUCGAACAGGUACGAAAGUAGAGCAUAGUGAUCCGGCGAUUCCGCAUGGAAGGGUCGUCGCUCAAAGGAUAAAAGGUACUCCGGGGAUAACAGGCUUAU